rnacentral:rRNA from 1 species
CCUACGGGAGGCAGCAGUGGGGAAUAUUGGGCAAUGGGCGCAAGCCUGACCCAGCAACGCCGCGUGAAGGAAGAAGGCUUUCGGGUUGUAGACUUCUUUUGUCAGGGAAGAGUAGAAGACGGUACCUGACGAAUAAGCCACGGCUAACUACGUGCAAGCAGCCGCGGUAAUACGUAGGUGGCAAGCGUUGUCCGGAUUUACUGGGUGUAAAGGGCGUGUAGCCGGGUUGACAAGUCAGAUGUGAAAUCCUGCGGCUUAACCGCAGCACUGCAUUUGAAACUGUUGAUCUUGAGUACUGGAUAGGCAGACGGAAUUCCUAGUGUAGCGGUGAAAUGCGUAGAUAUUAGGAGGAACACCAGUGGCGAAGGCGGUCUGCUGGACAGCAACUGACGGUGAGGCGCGAAAGCGUGGGGAGCAAACAGGAUUAGAUACCCUUGUAGUC